AUUUAUUUAAUAUAAAAAGUAUAUUUGACUUCCAAUCAAAAAGUUUCUAACAAAAUAAAUA
rnacentral:tRNA from 1 species